CAGUCGAGCGGAUGAAGGAGCUUGCUCCUGGAUUCAGCGGCGGACGGGUGAGUAAUGCCUAGGAAUCUGCCUGGUAGUGGGGGACAACGUUUCGAAAGGAACGCUAAUACCGCAUACGUCCUACGGGAGAAAGCAGGGGACCUUCGGGCCUUGCGCUAUCAGAUGAGCCUAGGUCGGAUUAGCUAGUUGGUGAGGUAAUGGCUCACCAAGGCGACGAUCCGUAACUGGUCUGAGAGGAUGAUCAGUCACACUGGAACUGAGACACGGUCCAGACUCCUACGGGAGGCAGCAGUGGGGAAUAUUGGACAAUGGGCGAAAGCCUGAUCCAGCCAUGCCGCGUGUGUGAAGAAGGUCUUCGGAUUGUAAAGCACUUUAAGUUGGGAGGAAGGGUUGUAGAUUAAUACUCUGCAAUUUUGACGUUACCGACAGAAUAAGCACCGGCUAACUCUGUGCCAGCAGCCGCGGUAAUACAGAGGGUGCAAGCGUUAAUCGGAAUUACUGGGCGUAAAGCGCGC
rnacentral:rRNA from 1 species